AUUGAACGCUGGCGGCGUGCCUAACACAUGCAAGUCGAGCGGCAGCGCGGGAGCAAUCCUGGCGGCGAGCGGCGGACGGGUGAGUAAUGCUUGGGAAUCUGCCUGUUAGUGGGGGACAACCCGGGGAAACUCGGGCUAAUACCGCAUACGCACUACGGUGGAAAGCCGGGGACCGCAAGGCCUGGCGCUAACAGAUGAGCCCAAGUCGGAUUAGCUAGUUGGUAGGGUAACGGCCACCAAGGCGACGAUCCGUAACUGGUCUGAGAGGACGACCAGUCACACCGGAACUGAGACACGGUCCGGACUCCUACGGGAGGCAGCAGUGGGGAAUAUUGCGCAAUGGGCGAAAGCCUGACGCAGCGACGCCGCGUGUGGGAUGACGG
rnacentral:rRNA from 1 species